rnacentral:rRNA from 1 species
UACGGGGGGAGCAAGCGUUGUUCGGAUUUACUGGGCGUAAAGGGCGCGUAGGCGGCGCAACAAGUCACUUGUGAAAUCUCCGGGCUUAACUCGGAAAGGUCAAGUGAUACUGUUGUGCUAGAGUGCGGAAGGGCAACUGGAAUUCUCGGUGUAGCGGUGAAAUGCGUAGAUAUCGAGAGGAACACCUGCGGCGAAGGCGGGUGCUGGGCCGACACUGCGCUGAUGCGCGAAAGCCAGGGAGCGAACGGGAUUAGAU